rnacentral:rRNA from 1 species
UACGUAGGGUGCAAGCGUUAAUCGGAAUUACUGGGCGUAAAGCGUGCGCAGGCGGUGAUGUAAGACAGAUGUGAAAUCCCCGGGCUCAACCUGGGAACUGCAUUUGUGACUGCAUCGCUGGAGUGCGGCAGAGGGGGAUGGAAUUCCGCGUGUAGCAGUGAAAUGCGUAGAUAUGCGGAGGAACACCGAUGGCGAAGGCAAUCCCUGGGCCUGCACUGACGCUCAUGCACGAAAGCGUGGGGAGCAAACAGG